CUGGAAUACCCCCCAGGUGAAGCUUAUGUUCAGUGCUUACACAGGACACAUUAAAUGACUUCAGAAUCUGUUGAGUUAUUGACAUUUAUUGGUCUGCAAAUCCAUUAUAAAAGCACCGAAAUUCAUACAAAAUUCACAAAAUAUCCAAAUCUUACCUUUAAAAUCAAAACACAAUGCAUUGACAUUAACUAGUUUAUGAUUACCCAGACGACAAAUCUUUCACCACACGUGUACUUUUAAUGCACAUUUUUAUUCAGGCAUACACUUUUUUUUUCUUCACCCAAAUGCUACCCUUUAGUUGUACUAAUAUAUAUACACACACAUAAGUAUUUUACAGGGGAUUCUUGAUGACAAACAUUUCAUACCUUAGCUAAUUAUGGAUUCAUUGUUUGUUUUUAUUGAUUUAGUUUCAAUAGAAGCACUUGUACCAUACAUGAAGUGCAUUACAAAAAAAAUAAAAGGGCAAGUCAAAAUUUAACUCAGUUGGUGUAAAUCAUUAGUAAGAAUACAAUUUUAGAUCCCAAACACCAAUGCCAUAUUUCAAUAGGCACAUUUCUGAUAAAUACCAAGUUUUGAAAAGCACACUGAACCAACUCUGCAGGUCUUAAUCCAUGAAAUUGAUUGUGCAACUACAUCCAACAUCACAAACUAACUUUAAGUAAUGGGCCACUUUAGAAAUACAUAAACAUGUCUGAAAUAUUCUCUUUAAACAAAAGAACUGGCAUAUUAAGCUCUAAAAACAAAGCUCUGAAAAGGAAAAAGAAAUGUGUACCAUGCUACCUAGAAUCUAAAGAAAUCAACUAAAAUGUUGAUGAACUGGUAACCAGUGAAAACUCAGACUAAAUAUCACAUUCACCUUACAAACACUCUUUAGUGUUAAGACAUUGCAGUAGCAAAAAAUACAUAUAUUAAAAAAAAUUAAGCAUACAGAGGCCCUGUUUAAUAUAUGUACAUCCAAAGUUUGAAGGCUUCAUAACAGUAGUUUACAACCAGGACAUUCAUUUUCAACCCUCAUAAAUGUGAAUCAGUUUGAAAGAUUGGUCAUUUUGAGAUACAAGACAAGAGACCGCAAUAAAGAUGGAAGCAUUAGAACUGGUAUCAGUAAUAUUAGUAGGAUCAUAGGGAGAAAUGCAGUUUGUUAAAACUUCAAUAAACUGUAAGUCACUUUGGAUAACAGCGUCUGCCAAAUACAUUAACAAAAUCUAUGAAUAUACUAAAGUUUCUUGAAGCAUAGUCAAC
rnacentral:lncRNA from 1 species